rnacentral:lncRNA from 1 species
AAGGAGUUGGUUCUCUUCGAGAAGAAGAAGGACGUCAAGGCACCACAGGCUGAGAAGAAGGUGGUCAAGAAGGAAGAUGAAAAGUCUGAGAAGAAGGCUGUGAAGGUAUGAAUGAUUUGUUAGGAUGUUUAAUUUCAUCGUUGUUGCUAAAUGGCUUUCUUGACCAUUGUGAUUACACUUAAUUGCAGAAGAUGAACAUCAAUGAGUUUCUGAAGCCGGCGAAGAAG